GUCGCCACUCGAGAACUUUCCUGCCCCAACGGCCAUCGUCUCUACGAGCUAUCCCGCCCACUGCCACUUGUCAUUUUCACUUAUAUUAUUUUCAUACAAGAUAUCACAAUACCAUUUUAAAGAAGGAUCAUUUUUCCAGUUUUUUCCAAACUGUUUAGUUAAACAUAGACAUAGAUUACAAGGUAUAUAAUAAGGUUAUUCGAUUAAACAUAUCGAUUCGACCUGUCGUCAUAAUUUAUUUUGGGCAAAUCGUUAUUUUUUAAGAAAUAAUGUACCCGUUUUGAUCCGAC